UCCUUCGUUCAACUCUCAAACAUCCUUUUAGCUCAUUUUCCCUGGACACCUUCUUCCCCUUCUCUCUUUUUCAUCGGAUUAUUACGGGAGGAUUUUUGAUACUUUUCUUAGGCAUAUAUACCUGAGUGAACUCAAGAGGUCGGUUUUGUGGGUUUAUUUUAACUUAGAAAAUGAUCCUUGCUUCUUGAUUUUUUGAGCCUUUGCCAUUCUUAAAUGACAAGUGAUCAAAAAACUAUCUUCUUUACUGGGUUUUCACUUCAGAUGAGAGUUGCUUUGGGUAUAAGUAGCGAGACCUUGCAUUUAAUCUGCUAAGGUCCCUUACGGCCUUAUCCCAGAUUACCCUUUGCAAGAUUAUCAGUUGUCUACUAUUAAAGAAUGACAAAAGUCUCACAUUGGUGGUUAAUGAGACAGGUGGAUUCCUUGUAUUGGCACAUCUUAAUACUUAUGUGACCAGCUCAAUUGGUGUACCAUCAGCGUUCCUGUUACAAGUCGGAACAAGUCCCCAUGUUGCCGGAUGGUUAGUGGAGUCAUGACUUGUGUAAAGAUUGUCAAUCGUCUCAAGGGUUUUAUCCUAAGCUUUGUGAGAUGCAGAAGAUACGGAGUUAAUUAGCAGCCCCAUGUACAACGGUGUUUGGUGAAGAUAGGUACAAAAUUUGGCCCUAAUUUGUGUCUGGGAAUGUGCAUAAGAUGGGAAAGCAUGUGACAGUAAGACAAUCUUUCCAAGGAGCAAUGCCUAGUGGUAAAGCAAGCAAGACAUUCAAAAGUUUUUCACAGAGCUAGGUCCAAAAGAUGGCAUUCAACCAUCAUCUCCACGAGCUCACAUCUAUAAUGAUCUAAGGGUAAUUCCUUCCACAUUUCUGGCCUACCACAUAUAUAUCCAAUACUCAAACAUGAAAAAACAUAAGAAAGAAAAAAAGAGAGAAGUGAACGGGGCAGAAUUACAAACUUGUGGAAUUCACAUUAAGAUUCACUAAAGUUUCAACAUUGUUUUCUUAGAAAAAAUACGAUCAUUACAUAAUUAAAGUUUGCCACCCUACCAAGUA